rnacentral:rRNA from 1 species
GCGACCGGCAAACGGGUGCGGAACACGUACGCAACCUUCCUUUAAGUGGAGAAUAGCCCGGGGAAACCCGGAUUAAUACUCCGUAACAUUAUGAAGUGGCAUCAUUUUAUAAUUAUAGCUCCGGCGCUUAAAGAUGGGCGUGCGCCUGAUUAGGUAGUUGGCGGGGUAACGGCCCACCAAGCCUACGAUCAGUAACUGGUGUGAGAGCACGACCAGUCACACGGGCACUGAGACACGGGCCCGACUCCUACGGGAGGCAGCAGUAAGGAAUAUUGGUCAAUGGACGCAAGUCUGAACCAGCCAUGCCGCGUGGAGGAUGAAGGUCCUCUGGAUUGUAAACUUCUUUUAUUGGGGAAGAAACCCACGAUUUCUAUGUGGUUGACGGUACCAGAUGAAUAAAGCACCGGGUAACUCCGUGCCAGCAGCCGCGGUAAAUACGGAGGGUGCAAGCGGUAAUCCGGGAUUCCACUGGGGUUUACAAGGGUGCGUAGGCGGGGUAGGUAAAGUCCGGUGGUGGAAAUUCUCCCAAGGCUUUAACUUUGGGAAAACUUGCCGGUGGGAUUACUUCUCAAUUCUU